rnacentral:misc_RNA from 1 species
CGGCGUCAUACAGUGUCUAUUCAAGGC